GGUAGUAGAAAAUAUUCAAAUGAGAGCUUUGACUGAAGUGGGGAAAGGUUCCAUGUCAACAGCAGAUGAGCAUGGGCUAGUCGAUCUUAACCUCUAAGUUAAACCCGAUUUAACUCCCUUACUUUUCAGAGGGUCGAGGGAAAGGGAAUCUGGUUAAUAUUCCAGAACUUGGAUAUGGAGUUUCACGGUAACGUAGCUGAAUGCGGAGACGUCGGCGCGGGCCCUGGAAGAAGUUUUCUUUUUCUUCUAACAGCUUAUGACCCUGGAUGGAUUAACCAGAGAUGGGGUUUUAUGGCUGGAAGAACAAUCAUUUAUUGAUUUUCCGGUGCGCCUACGACGGUCCUUGAAAAUCCACAGGAAGGAUUUACUUUCAUGCCAAGUCGUACUGAUGACGAGCCCGACAAAACACUGACA
rnacentral:ncRNA from 1 species